rnacentral:tRNA from 1 species
GCCGCCGUAGCUCAGAGGACAGAGCCAGGAGCUUCUACCUCCGGGGUCGCGGGUUCGAAUCCUGCCGGCGGUU